UACGUAGGGGGCAAGCGUUGUCCGGAUUUAUUGGGCGUAAAGAGCGUGUAGGCGGCCUGGAAGGUCCGUUGUGAAAACUCGAGGCUCAACCUCGAGACGCCGAUGGAAACCCCCUGGCUAGAGUCCGGAAGAGGAGAGUGGAACUCCUGGUGUAGCGGUGAAAUGCGCAGAUAUCAGGAAGAACACCCGUGGCUAAGGCGGCUCUCUAGUACGGUACUGACGCUGAGACGCGAAAGCGUGGGGAGCGAACAGG
rnacentral:rRNA from 1 species